rnacentral:hammerhead_ribozyme from 1 species
AUUCAGCUGACGAGUCCUAAAUAGGACGAAACGCGCGUCCUCGAU